AGUCGAACGGAUCUAGGGGCUUGCUCCUAGGUUAGUGGCGAACGGGUGAGUAAUGCAUCGGAACGUACCGUGUAGUGGGGGAUAACCCGGCGAAAGUCGGAUUAAUACCGCAUACGAUCUAAGGAUGAAAGCGGGGGCUCGCAAGACCUCGCGCUAUACGAGCGGCCGAUGUCGGAUUAGCUAGUUGGUAGGGUAAAGGCCUACCAAGGCAACGAUCCGUAGCGGGUCUGAGAGGAUGAUCCGCCACACUGGGACUGAGACACGGCCCAGACUCCUACGGGAGGCAGCAGUGGGGAAUUUUGGACAAUGGACGAAAGUCUGAUCCAGCCAUGCCGCGUGAGUGAAGAAGGCCUUCGGGUUGUAAAGCUCUUUUGUCCGGGAGCAAAUCCUGAUUUCUAAUACAAAUCGGGGAUGAGAGUACCGGAAGAAUAAGGACCGGCUAACUACGUGCCAGCAGCCGCGGUAAUACGUAGGGUCCAAGCGUUAAUCGGAAUUACUGGGCGUAAAGGGUGCGCAGGUGGUUAUGUAAGUCUGAUGUGAAAUCCCCGGGCUCAACCUGGGAACUGCAUUGGAGACUGUGUAACUAGAGUGUGGCAGAGGGGGGUGGAAUUCCGCGUGUAGCAGUGAAAUGCGUAGAGAUGCGGAGGAACACCGAUGGCGAAGGCAGCCCCCUGG
rnacentral:rRNA from 1 species